GGCAUGGGGGCAGGCAGCUCCAUAGUGGCAGAAGAGUGUGGCUGGGACUCUUCAUCCCCUUACAUCUUGGGGGAACAGGAAGCAGGAAGUGGGACUGGGUUAUAAAACCCCAAGGCCUGCCUCCACUGACCUCCUUCUUCCAGCAGGGCUCAACCUGCCCCAUAACCUUUCAGAAUACAGUCACCAGGUGACACAUAUCUCAGCGGACAUGUCGAUUCCAAACACACCACUAAGAAGUCAGAACAGCUCCCAAGUAAGGGAGGUGAUGCAGAGAGGACUUCCCUGAGCGUCUGUCGUCUUACAUUGAUCACGAUGCUUUCAGAUGGCCAGACUCUGCAUGCUCUACGGAGAUUCCUCCCCAGCCAUUAGGGAAAGGUUGGGCUUCAAGUAUGUACUUUGCUAAGUCACAAAUAUCAGAUACCUGCCUGAGUCUGCCUCCUGAGUGUUUGCAUGAAAGGUGUGCACCGUCACGUCUGCUUGACAAAGGACAGAGAGAAGCUUCGUCUGGAUGCGCUCGACAUGCCCGGGCUUUACCGAGGCGUUCUCUGAUUGUGUCAGCCAGUGACUUGCAUACAUGAUGCUGCAGCACGUGUGCAGAGGUCAGAAGACAAAGUGUGGGAGCUGGUUCUCUUCUACUGCGUGGAUUCCAGG
rnacentral:lncRNA from 1 species